GGCAUUUAUACUGGUGAGACAAAACUGUUGUUACGGGAAGGAGAACAGAUCACAGCACACGCACUGUAGUGCAGCUGCCACUUCAUAUAACACCAUUACAUAACCGUCAUCCACAGAUACAGGAUGAUAAAUGUUUGUAGAACAAUUACAACCUCUGAUAGAAGGACCUGUUCGUUUGUAAGGUGUUUGAUAUCUUUGACUCC